rnacentral:tRNA from 1 species
UCCAAAAUAGUUCAGCGGUAGAGCAAUCGGCUGUUAACCGAUCGGUCGCAGGUUCGAUUCCUGCCUUUGGAG